GAUGAACGCUAGCUACAGGCUUAACACAUGCAAGUCGAGGGGCAGCACAGUGUAGCAAUACACGGGUGGCGACCGGCGCACGGGUGCGUAACACGUAUCCAAUCUGCCCGUUACUCGGGGAUAGCCUUCUGAAAGGAAGAUUAAUACCCGAUGGCAUGUAUUUCCGGCAUCGGAGAUGCAUUAAAGAUUUAUCGGUAACGGAUGAGGAUGCGUACGAUUAGCUAGUUGGCGGGGUAACGGCCCACCAAGGCGACGAUCGUUAGGGGUUCUGAGAGGAAGGUCCCCCACACUGGAACUGAGACACGGUCCAGACUCCUACGGGAGGCAGCAGUGAGGAAUAUUGGUCAAUGGUCGAGAGACUGAACCAGCCAAGUAGCGUGAAGGAUGACUGCCCUACGGGUUGUAAACUUCUUUUGUUUGGGAAUAAAGUGAGGCACGUGUGCCUUUUUGUAUGUAUACUGUUUUGUAUGUACCGUUCGAAUAAGCAUCGGCUAAUUCCGUGCCAGC
rnacentral:rRNA from 1 species